AGCUGUAAACCUAGCCCUCAAAAAACAAUAACCCUCAAAUCCCAACUAAAUCAUUUACACUCUUUAGUAUAGGUGAUAAAAAAAGAAAUAAGCGCAACAGACAGAGUACCGUAAGGGAAAGAUGAAAUAGUUAUGAAAUAAUCACCAAAGCACUAAAAAGCAGAGAUACAUCCUCGUACCUUUUGCAUCAUGGUCUAGCAAGAAACCUUAAGCAAAACGCAUUAAAGUUUAACCCCCCGAAACUAGACGAGCUACUCCGAGGCAGCUAUAAGAGCAAACCCAUCUCUGUGGCAAAAGAGUGGGAAGACCCCCGA
rnacentral:rRNA from 1 species